rnacentral:rRNA from 1 species
AUUGAACGCUGGCGGCAUGCUUUACACAUGCAAGUCGAACGGCAGCACGGGUGCUUGCACCUGGUGGCGAGUGGCGGACGGGUGAGUAAUACAUCGGAACGUAUCCUAAAGUGGGGGAUAACGCAUCGAAAGAUGUGCUAAUACCGCAUACACUCUGAGGAGGAAAGUAGGGGAUCGAAAGACCUUACGCUUUUGGAGCGGCCGAUGUCUGAUUAGCUAGUUGGUAAGGUAAUGGCUUACCAAGGCAACGAUCAGUAGUUGGUCUGAGAGGACGACCAGCCACACUGGGACUGAGACACGGCCCAGACUCCUACGGGAGGCAGCAGUGGGGAAUAUUGCGCAAUGGGGGGAAACCCUGACGCAGCCACGCCGGCGUGGGGUGAUGGAAGGCCUUCGGGUUGUAAAGCCCUGUCGGGA